CCUACGGGAGGCAGCAGUGGGGAAUAUUGCACAAUGGGGGGAACCCUGAUGCAGCGACGCCGCGUGAGUGAAGAAGUAUUUCGGUAUGUAAAGCUCUAUCAGCAGGGAAGAAAAUGACGGUACCUGUCUACGAAGCCCCGGCUAACUACGUGCCAGCAGCCGCGGUAAUACGUAGGGGGCAAGCGUUAUCCGGAUUUACUGGGUGUAAAGGGAGCGUAGACGGUUAUGCAAGUCUGAAGUGAAAGCCCACGGCUCAACCAUGGGACUGCUUUGGAAACUGGAAAGCUGGAGUGCAGGAGAGGUAAGCAGAAUUCCUAGUGUAGCGGUGAAAUGCGUAGAUAUUAGGAGGAACACCAGUGGCGAAGGCGGCUUACUGGACUGUAACUGACGUUGAGGCUCGAAGGCGUGGGGAGCAAACAGGAUUAGAUACCCCGGUAGUC
rnacentral:rRNA from 1 species